ensembl:lncRNA
AAGCGAACGAAUGAAGCGGUUUCGUUUAGGAAAAAUACCCUCUUGACGCGAAAAGCCGGGCUGAGGAUCUGCUUGGACGGUGGAGGGCAUGUCCCCGCAGAGCACAGUAGGAGCUGUUGGGGGAUCCUUGGAAAGGAUGGAAGGCGCGGAGGUGGUCAAGGGAGGGUCCGGCGCUGCCUGCUCCCAGGGGCCGGUAGAGAUGAGAAAGGGAAGCCGGAGGGGUCCCCGCAUCCCUGGAGAGGGGUGAGGCUCCCACAGUUUUGAGCAAACUCUGCUGGGCCUCCUGUCCCUGGAUUUUUGGAGUUGAAUCCAAGAAUGAUGAAGAGUCUGAAAAGCUCCACCUCCACCUGCUUUGCUGAGGGAACAAGAGGCUGACACUGUCAUCG